rnacentral:rRNA from 1 species
UGGGGAAUUGUUCACAAUGGGCGCAAGCCUGAUGACGCAACGCCGCGUGGGGGAUGAAGGUCUUCGGAUUGUAAACCCCUGUCGAAUGGGACGAAAGACUCGCGAGUUAAUACUUCGCGGGAGUGACGGUACCGUUAAAGGAAGCCACGGCUAACUCUGUGCCAGCAGCCGCGGUAAUACAGAGGUGGCAAGCGUUGUUCGGAAUUACUGGGCGUAAAGGGCGCGUAGGCGGCCUACUAAGUCAGACGUGAAAUCCCCCGGCUUAACCUGGGAACUGCGUCUGAUACUGGAAGGCUUGAGUAUGGGAGAGGGAUGUAGAAUUCCAGGUGUAGCGGUGAAAUGCGUAGAUAUCUGGAGGAAUACCGGUGGCGAAGGCGGCAUCCUGGACCAUUACUGACGCUGAGGCGCGAAAGCUAGGGGAGCAAACGGGAUUAGAUACCCUAGUAGUCCCUGAGCGGGCUGGCAAGGCGCAU